UACGUAGGGUGCAAGCGUUAAUCGGAAUUACUGGGCGUAAAGCGUGCGCAGGCGGUUGUGCAAGACAGAUGUGAAAUCCCCGGGCUCAACCUGGGAAUUGCAUUUGUGACUGCACGGCUAGAGUGUGUCAGAGGGGGGUAGAAUUCCACGUGUAGCAGUGAAAUGCGUAGAGAUGUGGAGGAAUACCGAUGGCGAAGGCAGCCCCCUGGGAUAACACUGACGCUCAUGCACGGAAGCGUGGGGAGCAAACAGG
rnacentral:rRNA from 1 species